GUGGGGGCUGCGGCCACGUUCCUGUUCAUUCACACAGAAUCCGGGGCAUGAAUGUUCUUAGCAGCUCUGUUCCACACAGCCCCACACUGGAAACCACACAGACGUCCUGCGAGUCCCAUCCCUUGCUCAUGUCGCCGGGGCUCCGGAGGAGGGCCACUCUGUAAAAGCGGCCGCCAGAUGGCGCCCAACGACCGGCGCGGAGGGGUCAGCGGGAGGGAACCGGGUCACCAGCCAGCGAGAGUGCACAGCCUGAGCCCACCGCCGGGUCAGAGAAGGACCGUGACGACGGAGGAAUUGUCCGCAGUCUGUCAGGAAUUGUGUGCAGCCUGUCACUUCCGGCCCAGAGGGUCUCUCUAAGGCAGACGGACAGACAGAGCCCACAAGUCGUAGAGGAAAGGACCGAGCCGCUUGGCCGCGGAAAAGUUUACAACACAAAACAGCGGUGCACGUAUUUCCCUUCCAAAAAAGAAGAACGGGAAAGGAGAUGUUAAAGGCAAGCAGAGAGAGGAAAACUGUUGCAAAACAAAAGCUGAGCUCCCGUCCGAGGGAGGCCUCCUCCAUUGGAGGCCUAGGAAAUCAUUCUGACAAAAUGGAGGAUCUCUGUCUUUGGUGUCGAUUCCCUCAGAGGUCAAGAGAAACCUUUUCCAAUGUCUUUAUCAGGAGGAGACUAGAAGUUAGAGAAAAGUAUCCUUUCGGGAGUGAGAAAAACAAAUUCUGAUUUUGCAUCAGCUUCCCUCCGAUCUUGAAACUCAUUGACUUGAUUCCAUUCUGUCGACGGAAAUAAUCCGGAACCAAUCUAUCCGUGAAAAUCGGGGGCACAACCAAAGGGACGUCUAUCGACCCACCCACCAAGGAUUCCCCCCCCCCGCACGGCACAGCAGGAUGCCUGAGAGAUCCAUGCAGCCCUACAGUGGCAAGUCACAUUCGCACAGUCAAAACUCAAUGGCAGAGACAAAACGUUAAGGUCAGCGAGAGGGAAGAGAAUAACCGGCCCAGGAGCAACGGUGUGAAGAACACGGAGAAGACGGGUCCUAGACGCCGGGGUCCCCGGAGCAGCGAUUUCAUCAGAGGCCCGCGAACGUCCACGAUCUCCACACCACGUUUAUGGCCGACUGCGUGCGUGGGUCCUUUGGAAUCGACCAGGCUACUGUCCGGGCCACUUUGGGACAUCGUGGCCAGCUGCCCCGAGCGGUGGAGCUGUCAUUCGAGUACUGCUUGAGGAUCACGGACGGUUUGGCUCAUCGAUGAGCCCUGCGUUAUGGGCCCGGCAAGCAAACUCCUAACUGGCAACCCGCUGCUCUAGACUCACUGGCGACUUCACACAGCGCCUGCCUCCUCCUCCUUAGGAAGGAAGGAAGGAAGGAAGGAAGGAAGGAAGGAAGGAAGGAAAGGAAGGAAGGGGCUGACCCCGUGGCCGAGCGGUUGAGUUCGCACGCUGCGCUUCAGCGGCCCGGGGCUUCAAAAGUUCGGAUCCCGGGCUCAGACACGGCACCGCUCAUCAAGC
rnacentral:lncRNA from 1 species